GUAAAAUAUAUUGUUGGUUUAUGUUAAAGUGGGUCAUCUUGUUGUCUUAAAGUUAACACACAGAAAAAGACCGGUUUGAUCAACAGAAGCUCCCCAUUUGACAAAAAGUAAAAAGCUGGGAUGAAUCAUAAAAGGUUCAACGGCUUCUGUUUUCUGCUCCUUUGGAGCCUUUACAAAAACUGCGAAACCUCCCCUA